GACGAACGCUGGCGGCGUGCCUAAUACAUGCAAGUCGAGCGAAGUUUUUCUGGUGCUUGCACCGGAAAAACUUAGCGGCGAACGGGUGAGUAACACGUAAAGAACCUGCCUCAUAGACUGGGACAACUAUUGGAAACGAUAGCUAAUACCGGAUAACAGCAUUAACUGCAUGGUUGAUGUUUAAAAGUUGGUUUUGCUAAUACUAUGAGAUGGCUUUGCGGUGCAUUAGCUAGUUGGUGGGGUAAAGGCCUACCAAGGCGACGAUGCAUAGCCGACCUGAGAGGGUGAUCGGCCACACUGGGACUAAGACACGGCCCAGACUCCUACGGGAGGCAGCAGUAGGGAAUCUUCCGCAAUGGGCGAAAGCCUGACGGAGCAACGCCGCGUGAGUGAAGAAGGAUUUCGGUUCGUAAAGCUCUGUUGUUAGGGAAGAAUGAUUGUGUAGUAACUAUACACAGUAGAGACGGUACCUAACCAGAAAGCCACGGCUAACUACGUG
rnacentral:rRNA from 1 species